AAAAUGUCGUAACCGAAGGAUUGAUCCUAAACUAAGGGGUUUAAGGAUCAAAUCCUUAAUCACGUGGCAAGGCGGGAGUGGUCGUGGUAGGGGUUGUGUUUCGUAUGUGGAAAAAAACAUUCAUUCUCUUUCUCCGUCUCGAAAAAAAAACUCUCCCGAAGGCGAAAGGCGAUUCAGAGAUCGUGAAACGGUGAAGGUUUUGAAAUGGAGGAAGAACUUCGCGAUAAGAAAGCACAAAAAGAGUACUACAACAUGAUCGAUUUUGUUGCAAAUGCGCAACAGGGGAUUCCCAAAAUUUGCCCCUGUGGAUCAAUCACGAAAGAAACCGUUGAUGAAGAUGAUACGUACGACUACCUCCCGGGAAAAAAGAUACUUUAUCUGCAAAGACUUUGAGGUAUGUACUGUAAUUAAUCUGGUUAUUUUUAUGGUUCAUAUUCUGACAAAUGUUUAUCUUUUUUUGCAGAAUGAUGGGCUGCAUUUCAGGCAACCAUGGGUUACGGCUAUUCAUGAAGAAGUUGAGAGGCUCAAAGAACGGUAUCACGAGCAGGCGAAGCUUCUGAGAGAGUGCCAGGCAGUUAAGGUGAGUGAUGAGUGAUCUGUUAUGUCUUUAGGACUUUACUUAUAUGUGGGUAGGACUAUAGUUCUGUAAUAACUGUAUGAUGUAUGUUCAGGACGAGGUGAGAAUGCUGCAGGACGAGGUGAGAAUGCUGCUUAUGCGUGUGGCUGAACUCGAGAGAGCCCUGUGAGGUUAGUGGAUUAAAUUAUCCUUCAUCUCUGCCUCGUGUGAAAUUAGUAGGAGUUUGCAAAUAAUAUCCAUACUGCUUCAUUAAAUCUCGCUUUCAAGAUGAAUAAUUAUUGUAUGUUUGCAUUUAAUCAUUCAAUAAAUGAAUUUUCAAUUUUAAUGUUUUGCAACUUUCAUAAUUUUUAAUUUCUUAAAAAAAAAAAAAAAUUAUAAGAUCUUCAUAGUAGUAACACCAUU